rnacentral:rRNA from 1 species
UACGUAGGGUGCGAGCGUUAAUCGGAAUUACUGGGCGUAAAGCGUGCGCAGGCGGUUUUGUAAGACAGAGGUGAAAUCCCCGGGCUUAACCUGGGAACUGCCUUUGUGACUGCAAGGCUUGAGUGCGGCAGAGGGGGAUGGAAUUCCGCGUGUAGCAGUGAAAUGCGUAGAUAUGCGGAGGAACACCGAUGGCGAAGGCAAUCCCCUGGGCCUGCACUGACGCUCAUGCACGAAAGCGUGGGGAGCAAACAGG